ACGCUGCUGCCGACGAGAAGUUCCUGUGGCUCAAGAAGCACUUUGGCAAGGGUGGUGGCGGCUUGGGAGGCGGCGGCGGUGGCGGAUAUGGCGGGGGGCGGUGGGUAUGGUGGAGGAGGUGGCGGCGGGCUGGGUGGUGGUGUUGGCCACGGCUUCGGAAAAGGUGGCGGCCUUGGCGGUGGCAUCGGCCAUGGUCUUGGUGGUGGCUAUGGUAAAGGUGGAGGUCUUGGUGGUGGGAUCGGCCAUGGCAUUGGCGGAGGGUAUGGUAAGGGUGGUGGCUUUGGAGGAGGAAUCGGCCACGACAUUGGUGGAGGCAUUGGCCAUGGCAUGGGCGGUGGCUACGGCAAGGGUGGAGGGAUUGACCAUGGCAUCAGCGGUGGCUAUGGAAAAGGCGGUGGCCUUGGUGGUGGAUAUGGCAAAGGUGGCGGACUCGGAGGCGACAUUGGCCAUGGCAUGGGUGGAGGCCAUGGCAAAGGUGGUGGAAUUGGGCAUGGCAUGGGUGGUGGAUUCGGCAAAGGCGGUGGUGGUCUUGGCGGCGGUAGUGGCUACGGUGCUGGUGGCGGCGGGGGCCUUGGUGGUGGAAGUGGACAUGGCAUGGGUGCCGGAUUCAGCAAGGGUGGUGGUCUUGGCGGCGGCGAUGGCCUUGGCGGUGGAAGUGGGCAUGGCAUGGGUGCCGGAUUCGGCAAGGGUGGUGGUCUUGGUGGCGGCGGCGGCGGAGGUGGUGGCGGUGGGUUUGGCAAAGGAUUUGGCUUUGGGUUUGGCAAAGGCAGCGGGUUCGGUGGUGGUGGCGGCGGUGGGGGCGGCGGCGGCAUCGGUGAUCACCAUUGAUACGUCAGCAUGCAGCAUACGUCUCCUCUCGUUCUAUCACUUACUUUUGUAUUCGUUCAUGCUUCGUACCUUGUCAUGACUAUGGGUGAUGGUGAUAUCCUUCACAGUAGUAUUAUGUGUGUACUCCAUGUAAUGCUCGCUCCCUAAAAGAUUCGAGAAAUAUAAAUGAAGUUAAUGCUUCGUUUGAAUUUGAAUGAUG
rnacentral:misc_RNA from 1 species